rnacentral:rRNA from 1 species
GACGAACGCUGGCGGCGUGCUUAACACAUGCAAGUCGAACGGAAAGGCCCGGCUUUUGUGGGGUGCUCGAGUUGCGAACGGGUGAGUAACACGUGAGUAACCUGUCCCUGACCUUGGGAUAACUUCAGGCAACUGGGGCUAUUCGCGCCUAGGAGCUCCUGCUGCUUGGUGGGGGUUGGAUAGUUUCGGCGGUUGGGGAUGGACUGGCGGCCUAUCAGCUCGUUGGUGGGGUAGUGGCUUACCAAGGCUAGGACGGGUAGCCGGGCUGAUAGGGUAACCGGCCACGUUAGGACUGAGAUACGGCACAGACUCCUACGGGAGGCAACAGAGGAGAAUAGUGCACAAUAGGCGGAGGCAUGGUGCAGCAACGCCGCGUGCGGGAAGACGGCAUGCGGGUAGUGUUCCGAUGUCGCCUGUGACGAGGCGUGAGUGACGGUAAUGGGUGAAGAAGCACCGGCUAAUUACGUG